UGAUUGUCCUCAUCAUUUGGUUUGUUUGAAUGUUGUUUAACACUGCACUCACAAUAUUCAGUUACAUGGCUGCAGUCUGUCAAUAAUAUAGUCUGGACCAGACAAUCAGUGAUCAACCUCAUAAGAGCA